UCCCAAUCAUCCGCCCAGGAAGCGCCGCAACCGGGGCUCGGGAGGGGCGGAGGGGGAACCAAGCAGGGGCCACUGUCGAGGGGGAUUCUUGCCCCCACUUUGCACCACACACUCCUUUCCCAGCCCAGGGGCACCGGAACAAAAUCAGGUUAAAGCCGACCAGGCCGAGCCCUGGAGGAAUGCUGGGGUCUGGCGUCAGAAGGGAUGGGACCAGAGACAAGGGUGUUGGAGGAGACCCCAGUUGAGGCAGGACACUGCAGGUAAAGAAGGGGAAGAAGAGGCCGAGAAGUCGAGGGCCAGACUGUGAAGGAGAAUAAAGGAGGUCAAAGAGAGGUCAUAUCUUCGUACCUCACUUCCUGACACAAACAAGUUUUUACUGUUGUCAGCAACAAAGCCCUAAUAUAGCUGCGGAAGAGAAAAACUGCAUUGCAUUUGCCUCCUGCAAGCAUCAUCAACACAGUUACCGGAGGAAUGUAAUUCCAGAAAAGCUUUAAAGCUGGUGUGAUGGUAAUUAUGUAUCAAAUGCCUGAUUCUAUUUCUGUUAUUAUUGUUUUGUCAUUUCUGAUCUACCCAAGAGCUGGCUGAACUCGCAGAGGGAUAAAUCCAGUUUUUCUUUUUGCCUUGGUAAAAUUUAAUCAGACCUGAUAGAAAACUCAUUGCUCUUGGGGAAAAUAAAGUAGGAGCCACGAAAUGUCAUUUUAACAGAGCGUGGGUUUUGUGACUGUAGGAAAGGAUUUAAGGACGCUCCUUCUGUUCGCUUUCCUAUGUCAUGAGCAAAGGCUACACGCACGCACAGACGCCACAUCUCCCGGAUGCUGUGGCUCCCUUAUCUGGGCUUCUGCAGCGCCAGAAGCCCCUCCGGGAUGCUGCGAGGGGCUCUCGGUGGGUGGUGGUACGAACGCUGCGGCCGCCGCCGCCGCCGCCGCCAGUCCUGCCGCUGCUGUUGUUGCUGCUGCAGUCACGUGGGAGCCCCUUUAAGUUUCCAUAGAGAGGCCUCUCCGGUGUCACAUGAUGGACAUGAUAUAAUGAAACAACAUUGUGGAGAGGAAAGCAUUAGGGGAGCCCACGGCUACAAAAACAAGUGAGUGAGAAGAGGUGGGAGGAAGAGAAACUACGCCACCUCCCCUGCAGCCGAGCCGCACGCAGCAGCAGCCCGCGGGAAGUGGUCGACGCCGGGGGGAAGGGAGACCGGGUCCCCAGCCCCAGCCGGGGGACCCCGCCGCCCACCGCCGAGAGAACAACUUUUAGCCGGCAGCCUCGGCCAGCCCUGCACCUGUCUCCGAAGCCUCCAUCGCUCCUCGUGAUGAUCAAAGGGAAAUUCUAGAAGAAAUGCUCUACAAAUAUACAUGCGCAUCAUUUUCCCCCUUGCGUCUCGCUCUGGAGGAGGAGAAAGGGAUUUAAGCAGCAGCUUGUGUUCAGCCCCAAGGGUGAGAAGAGUUUGGAUAUUUCACCGUCUGGAGUUUCUCUGCCUCGCUGAUGAUUUAAGCUCAAGCCUGCCAGUUUAUGGGAGAUGAUAGAAAACACCCUGUGACCUCUGAGUUGCACAGAUAUCUGCCUCUAAGAACUGAGGAGGACCUACUUGGUGGGAGCAAGGGCUGUGAGUCAUACCUGCAGGCUUGGCACCGAGCUCAUUUGCGCCUCUUCAUUCAGUCAGGAGGUUUCCUAGGCAACCGUUUAUGCAGCAAUUAAAAGAUGAGGCGUUGAGAGGAGAAAGUGGAAAAAACAGGUACUUUUAAUGGAACAGAAUAAACCACUGAACAGGUAACUGAAAUUAUUAGGGGUUGCGUGCACAUUAAUUAAACAAGUUAAUGUUUAUGAAGUCCUUAGAAGUUUACCUGACACGUAGUAAAUACAACAUAAGUGUUUGCUAUCAUUAAGUUCCUUUAAAUGUACCUGAGCCCAAAACAAACCAGUCAUACAGCCAAAAACUACCCAACAAAAACAAACCCUUUUGCUCCUAAAGCAAGUGUGAGCAUCACUGGUAAGUUCUGACAUGCUCUCUGUGUGAUCUGUUGAUAGUGGCCUGAGAAACUUAAUUUCUUAAUCUUUGAGCACCCUUAAGUAUUUGGCUACCCAUUCAUUUUUGUUUUUUAGCACUCAUUCAUGAUGACAUAUAUAUAAGCGUCAUAUCAAUUUCAAUUUUGAAACAAAACAAGCUUCUUUAAAAUUCUUGAAGAUUUACUUCCUUUUCAUUUGAGGAAAUGGCUUAGUUUCCAGGUAGCCACUGAAAUGACCUGUGGAUAGUUAGUAAAGGUGGAGAGGGUGGGGUUAAGACCAGCACUCAUGUUUUCUGGUGAUGCCAGUUAUUACUCGGAAUAAGAACUUUCAAACUAUUGACUCUUCCUAGGCACUAACUUCACGUCAUAAAACUGUCGGUAUUACUAAGACCUAGUGACACAUUCAGUGGACAUUGAUACGGGGCGUGUUAUGUGCCAAGAACUGUGCGGGGCCUUGAGAUGGCAGGGCUGAACAUGUCGCCUGAUUCCUUACCUUCACUGUUCUUAAUGGGACUACAGAAUGAUAAUUUAGUGAAGUACUGAACAAGCCAGGACCCAUUCAGAACUUCUGGAAAUGAUAAUUCACUCUUCUAAGAUAGUUAAGAACUUAAGUUUUAAAUGGUGUAGGUUUGCAGCUUGAUUUGUUAGAUGAGAGAGAUACAUUUGGUGCUGGUUUAAGUCUAGUACUGGAAAAACAAGAAGCUAAAAUCUAUUGCUUAUCCGUUUUAAACCCCUAAUCAUAAAAUACCAUAGUGACUUCUGUGCAAUGCUAGCAAAAUUCUUGUUGAUUUCGGAGGCAAGUUUAUUUAUAAAGUAAUCAUAAUUAUAUACAUCUAAGUCUACUCAGUAUGUACAACGAAUUUUGAUGGUUGCAAUGUGCAAAAUGGUUCUUUUAAACAAAGAUAAACCAAUAUUCACCUGUCUUUGAGGAAUAUUUCUAAUGUUUAUAGGCAAUAAAUGAGACAGCAUAGCCUAGUUUUGUGUUAAAAAGAUCUCAUUUGAGUGGUCAUAGAAGUUUUCUAAAUAUUUUGUACUGAAGCCGAGCCAAAGUUCAUUUGGUUCUUUGAGUAUGUUCUAAUUUUAGUAAUGAUUAAUGAAGCCUUUCUGUACAAUUACAAAUAUAGCAUAUUUGGCAAAAACUUAGCCUGAUAUUAUAGUAUAGUAUUAUAAUGCUUAACCAAGUAUUAUAGAUGAACACAUUCCUAUAUUUUACAAUUACUUCAAAUGCCAUAUAACACAAUUUGGAUUGCUUCGUUUCUUGUAGUACCUAGGGUUUGAAAAUACCAUGAGAAGAGAAUGUAGCAGACUUUGACAGCUAAGUAGAUGUUAAGGUGUAUUUGUCAAAAUCCUUUGAAAAAAUCAUUAUCUAGGAUUUCGUUUUGAUUCCUCUUUCUUUCUUUUUUCUUUCUUUUUUUUUUUUACUUUAUAAGGCAAUUUUAAUUGAAUCAUAAAGUACUUUUUCCCAUUAAGUAAACAGAACAUGCACAAUAAUAAAAUUCUCUGAUGUUUUCUUCUUAGUCUUGAGUUAAGGGACACCGACUCCUUCCUGGACAUUUGUCUGUUCCUCUGUUCUUCCUUCUUUUACUUACUAAUUUCUUUGAAGAUUAAUUAAAUCAGUGCAGUAUUCUACAGCCACGUGCAUUUAUAGCAUUUGGGUUAGGACACAGUUAAUGCACCGUCUUUGCCUGGAGGCGGCCCUGGAGAGGUGCAGGUGAUGCGGUGGUACUUCUCUGGCAGUCAGACUCUCCCAGCUCCCACAUCAUGUUGCUGUCACGGCUGAGACUGCUCUAACCUUGACCUUGUAUUUACCAUUACAGCUGGUUCUUUUCAUUCCUUUCCAUUCUCUUUCCUCUUGCCUUUUGAGACAUCUACUACUUGUUCUUACACCUCUCUGAUUAUUUCUUCCAAGGGUCCUGAUUAGCGACCCUAGAGCUUUGGUGCGAGUCCUGGGUCUUCCCUCUGUCCUGCUCCAUUCCUGGCUGUGAACUUGCAGCAUUAGCACAGCAUAGGCAGGGGCAGGUGCUUGGCAAGCAGUGUGAGAGAGGGUUCAAAUAAAUACUUCAAAACUACUUGACUUGAGUCUCUACUUUUUGAAAAAAUUAAAAAACCAUAAAAAGGCUUUAACUGGAAUGUUUGUUGUUAUUGUUAUUUGGAAGGAAUUCUAAGAGUGAAUUCUAGUUCUUCCUAGCCUGCUCUUGUUUACCUCUGGUAACACAGUGCAUGCCUGGAAGCCAGUAGAAAAACAGCAGAAUGUGUCCGUCAGUCCCUUUGCUUUGAGAGUAUUAACAGAAGUGGUACCUGAACCCUCACCCCCGCCACGGCUCCAUUCAUAGGCAUUUGUCUCCCCCGCCCCAUUUUGGAAGGUCAACCACAAAUUAUAGGACAAGAUUGUACAGCUUCAGGAAAUGGCAGAAAUGAAAAGGAUAUUACUGAUGGUUCAAGGGGACAAAUUAUGACAGAAAUCUCGACAGUGUUUGGGAACAUAAAAUACUUGUGAGUUUAAUAACCCCAAACAAGAAUAACAUGUAUUUUUUAAAGUAUUUCAUACUUGUCCAAUUUUUCUGGCUGUUUCCCUUCAUUCAUUUUCGGUGAGAGGAGACUGAAGUGAAAAUAGAAACUAUUAUUAGUCCUUUUUUUACGGCACCUGGAUUGAUUGUGAAAAGUGUGAGAAGUCACAUCAGGCAGCCAAGCACUUCUUUUAAAAGCGUGGGUAAAAGGAAAAGAAGACGGCAAAAGUAAACAGCGCGCUGUGAGAUAGUGCAUUACGGGGUUGCUUGCUAGUUUUGAUUUCAGAGCUUAACAGCACGAAAGUCGAAGUAUUCACGUCGUCAUGAAAUAAGGGACGUGGAGUGCUUGGUUCAGUGUAGUGCUCAGGAUGCGCGGCUGUUGUUGCUGUGAACAGAGAUACUCAAUGGCAUUCUUAAGAAAUUCUUUUAGUCGUGUUUCGUAUCGUUCCGGAUGGAUUUGUUUUGACCUGUCCUGUUUUCUGUGUUAUAAUUUAUACGGCAAAGGAAGCAGUGAGGUUAAUAGCAUUUAUUGAGUAUUUCCUUUGUGCUGAGCAUUGGGUGAAGAGAGUCAGGGUAGAUAACUGUCCUCAUCCCAGUUUUACAGGACGUGUCUGAUAAGAAGAUUCUCGUCAAUAGGUGGCAGAGACCACAGUCUCCCCAAAACCAAAUGCUAGUUGUCUUUAAAUAAUCUUGCAACAAUAUUUAAAGGUUUGAAAAGCUUCUGGCUUUACAUUGUUGAUUAGCAGUGAUAGCCAUGCAAGGAAAAUACUUCUUAUUAAAAGAGGAGAUUUUAACAGAAUAAAAAAAUAACUCAGUUUUUCCUGAGUUCAUAGCAUUACUUUAAUCUUCUUGAUGUUAAAGAUUUUCAAGUAAGUAUUUGCAAUUUGCAGUCUACCGUUUAGUCCUUUUGGUAGAAUUAGCGUAAUAUUUAAAAGGUUUUUGAGGUAAUAUUCCCUUUUAAAGUAUGUGUAAUCAAUGUGCUUCAUAUAUUUCCUUAAUAUUUGCUGCUUUCAGUUGUACAUGAUACAUCCUGCUAUUUCAGUAGGAAAUGGAUCUUUUAGGCAGAGAGAUUCCAAAAGAUUUCAGUAUUUUGAAUAUGUCUUAAGUCAAUAAUUGGAAGAAAAUAAAUCUAGUACCUCUGAUUGAAGGGGCAAAUAAAUGUAUAUCCAUAAUCAAUUUUCAGUUUACCACCUCAGUGGAAGGGAACAUUAACAUGGGUAAUCAGAAGUUUUCAGCAACCAACUCAGCCAGCUUUUUUGGUUAAACAAAGAAAUAAAGGCUUGCUUCUCUUAAAAAGUUUUCUUUUUGUGGCAACUUGCUUUUUUGUUCACUUUUGCUUUGGGUUCUAUGUUUUCUGGUGCACAGCAGCCAGCAGUGGAUUUGGAAAUGGCUCAAUAUGUAUUUGUGAAAGAGAGGGAUACCCCCAUAUAUUUUAAAAUACAUUAUAAAUGUUGUGAAAAGUUAGAAUUAAUACAUGAUUUUUAUUAUGAACUUUAUUACAUUUCCGUAGUAUUACAAUUCAUUUGCCUAUUCUUAAAGCUAUAAAUGUCCAGGAUACAUCAGGUUAACACUUGAAUCUGUCUUAACAAGCCCUCCUGUCUACCAUCCCCCACUAUUUCCAUUUUUUUUUAAAGGUGGAAUUAGUAUAGAAUGAAGAUCAAAGAUAUUUGAAAGGGAAAAAUAAGUCACAAAAUAAUAAAUUUAAGCAUUUGAAUUUGGCACUGAAAAGAAGGUUAGAGGACAUUUACUUUAAACGUUUAAACUUACAGAGAAGGAGACUGAGUUUCUGAGAGCUUAUGGGACUUGAGUGAGGACACAGAGCUAUUAAAGGGCAGAACCAACCCUGACAGGUGGAUAGCACUUCUGCAGCCAGAACUUGUAGUUUUUUUCAGCUUCAUUGAGGUAUAAUUGACAAAUGAUGUUAUAAAGUGUUUAAAAUGUACAACAUGAUGAUUGAUAAACCUACAUGAUGAAAGGAUUCCCCUCACUUUAAUAAUUUUCAAAAAUUAAUAUUAAGCCUCAGUCUGUUUUGUGUUUUGCUCUUUGUUUUUUAGACACACGACCUGGAAAGUGUGCGUCUUAGCAAAAGGUAGUGGAAAGCAAAGCCCACUCAUACCAGGUGCACCGUUUUUUCCACUCGGCUACCCUGGGGGCAGCCUGCUGGGUGCAGAGAGGAAAGGAAGAGGCCCGGUCUUCACCUCAGUGAGAAUGAAGGUUUUAUGGGAUAAUUUUUAAACGUGGAACCACUUCCUUUUCUAACAAUAGUUGCUCCCUGAGAAGUUCCCCGUGUCUCUCAGCUGCAUGUACCCCUGUCCAACGCAGAGAACAAUACCCCACAUCCCUGUGUUCUAGGGGGCCUCUGGCAGAUCCCCUCAAUAAACACUCCUGUCUAGAAUAUUAGCGUCCACAUGAUUUUUUAGAAAAGCAGUUCUCGUGUUGUCCAUUAACUUAGUAGUGCGCUGAGCUUGCUGCGGCCCCAGCUUUACGUUUGACUUCCUUCCCCAACCCCAUAAAUCGUUCGGCUUCACAAUUUAAAAAAUCUGAUUCUCAGAAGCAGGUACUGCUUUCAUCUGGAUGAGACCAGAUAAAUGCUCUUGGUUCCAAGUACACUUCAUGAAACAGGGUAGACAGGGCAGGAAAAUAAGCAUCAUCACCAAAAAAAACCCCCAUGUGUAAUACCACUAGUAAAAAGUGUUAUGUUUGUAAAGUGCAGACCUUACCACUCUUUUAUCCAAAAGUAUAUCUUUCUUAGAAGCUGAUUGACUGGGUUGGUAGAUACUUGAAUCAUCUUUUUUUUUUAACUACUGAAAAUGUACCCUCUAACCCAUGUGAAAAGUAUUGGUUUUAGACACUGUGAAUACUUGGUAGAAGUAAACAGUUUACUCUGACCUGGAAAAACAGGAACCUAAAUAUACCUAAAAAUAACCUAAAAAUUAUGGUAAAUAGUAAAAUCAUAUUUCUAGCUUCUAGUAUGACAUUGACACGGGCAUAUACACAGUUACUGUUCAGUUAGAAAUUUUAUUUUGGCAGCACUCCACCUUAUAUACAUUUUUUAAAAAGAAUGUUAAGCCAUUGCCUUACUUUUGAUGGACUCCUUGGAAGAAUGUAUGUGUAACAGAGUGUGGUGAAACACUGUGUCACAUGUACUUAAGGCUCAGAUUUUGUCUUAGUUACCUGAGUAUUUCAUUGCACUUUGAAGGAAUCCUGAAUUGUUCUAAUAAUUUAAUCCUCCACAUCACAAUGUACGAUGCUUCAUUAUGCAUUAGUUUCUAUAAUUUUUAAACUUGAAAGAUAAUUAUGUUUGUUUUGCCACAAGGCGCUUUCAUGAGAACACUUUCAAAUUGUGUAGCCAGGUGUAGUUGUCGGGCAAAGAAAGACUUACCUGUUUCCUUUUUGUUCCAGGAUUCAUUGGCACUGGCUGUUUUAAUUCAGAUUAUAUAAGAGGAGGAAUAGUACUUUGUUCUUUCAAUAUGUGGAAGCUCGGCGUUUAAACAGCCCUGUAUUAGUUCUUAGGUAACUAGGAAAGGUAACCGUGCUACCAAGAAUAGUGCUGAUUUUUACUUAAUCAUCUUACUGUAUAACCUGAAGAUGACGGUGGGAAGAUUGGAGGAAAAGAAAUCUUUGGUACAUAGUUCUUUCGCAUUUUUCUGGAAUACAGUGGUUCACUUUUGCCACAGUGUGUAUUACACUUGUGAUUUCUUUAGAUCCUAUUUGAAACCAAUGAGGAAAGUAACACAAGUGGGUACAGAGAAAGGGGGGGUACCCCUGUGAGCACUGUAUCACCCAGACUCUCAGUGACCACUGAGCUGCAGGAGUCAUUGGUUUGUGGAGAUAGAUGUGGAAGAUGUGUCAGAAAUGAUUGGCUAAUAUAAAAGUUUAAGUUCAUUCUCAGCACCUGAGAAUGAAUUCUUUUAAACUUUUAAAUAAAAGGGGGUUAGAUUCAUUACAGAAAAGUAUUCUUAAUGUGUUUUCUAAGGAGGGGAGAAGGGAUGGAACUGAUUUGCUGGGAAGCGUGCUGAGAAAGCGUCCAGGGUAUCAACGUGUAAAAGAGGGGAACUGUCUCUGGCGUAGACUGUGGCUCGUCCUUUAGUAGCAGGAGAAAUGAGGAUAGACAGCAGAGCCUGGGCGUUGGUGUCAAGGGUGUAAAUUUGCCCUUGGGUUCCAGUUUCCCUCGUGUGCGUGUUGCCGCCUUCCUCCGCAGUGCUGGUCUGGCUCUCCAUUAUGGAUGACUGUGCCAUUAACUGCUGAGGAAACGAUACAUUAAGAGUAAAGACUCUGGAUCUUCCUGGGUUCAGAUACCAGCUUUGCCUCUGAGGCAACUGACUUAAUUUCUCAAUUUCUUCAUUUGUAAAACAUGGAUAAUAUUAGUGUUUGCCUUUAUGGGGUUCUUGAGAGGCUCAGAUGAGUUAAUGGCAAGUGAAGUCAUUACACUCUCAGGCACACAGUAAGCACUCAGUAUCUGUUAGUUAUUAUUAUAGUAUGUGACCCUAUUUAAUUUUUUUAAAAAUAAUUCCAUCCUCUCUCCAUAACCCAUGUAGAGAGAAUAGACAUUUAACUGGAUGAAUGAGUGAAUAGUGAUUUGCACGGUGUCUUUAGAAUUAUUGAUUGAUCGGUAAUGUAAAUGCAUCUUGGUUUGUGGGUACAUUUCUAAGAUAAGGCCAUGUAAGCACAGCACUGAUUAAAUUACAGCCACGCAUGCUCCUCCCACCUCAUCUCAGACAUGGUCCUUAAUCUUCUUUCUAAUAAACCAUUUUUUUUCCUGGGACUCAGGGAAAGGAUUGUGUUUUACAUCCUGAAAAAGAACACACAACACACACAUAAAUGAAACAGUUACUUUAUGGAACAAUAGUUGUCCUAAAUGCAGAGAGUCUUGUUUUCUGUUUUAUUCUCUUGUUUCAUUUUUGUAAAAGCACUGCUUGCUGUGCAUUGAAAUUAUUUCACAACCCACUAAUGAACCACCCUACAGUUUGAAAAACACCAUGUUAAACCAGUUUGCCUCUUGUCCAGAACUAAAGUGAGUAUACCUUUGAUUAUAACCAGUGUUCCUUUCCUUUUCAUUCUCUUUCCUAACUUCCCUUGAUGGUGGAACUGGGAUUCAGCAGCUUUAAACACAUACACACACACACUCACACACACUCUUAAAUGCCACCAACCUAUUUAAUAAGGCCAGAGUUCGUGUGGUCAUUUAAAGGGAUUUUAAAUAUUACUACAUUUCAGAUUCACUUUUAGUACAUUUGUAAUAUUAAAAAUGAAUAAAGCUCAUAUCACUAUAAGAUAGGAUCCAAUAAUCAUUUUCAGGAAACAGUCUAAGAUUUAGGUAUUAUAAUAGUAACAAAUUUUUCAGAUUGUGAUACCUGACUUCCCCUCUGCCUCACUCCUCAGUUAAAUAAGGCGAUAAGAGUGCCAUGCAGAAAAGUGCCUUUGUUGGUAGAUCAGAACUCUGGACAGCUUUGGUAUCCUGAGCUUGUCCGUAGACUUCAGUGUGUUCCUUCUUUGGCCAGCACCGUUUGUUGGGGACACUUACUGCCUAGAGCUGUUCAUGCUCUGUGACCAUGAAGCUGAGCCCUGAUUCUGUUCUCAUCAACUGAGUCACCAGCCAAACCAAAUAACAACUUCUUUAAAAAGCUGACAACCAAAUCCUGACCAAGUUUACCACACAAGACCUUCCCAGAUUAUAAACACUUGAUCUACACACAUUCCAGUCCCACACACCACCAGUCGCUUGCCUUUGGUCAGCCUCCCACACCCCCUGCUCCACACAGCUGGCUUCUGUGCUGGCUUCAGUGCUGUGUCUAAUCCAACCCCUUUUCCAUCGAACUGGUAGAACUCUGAAUAUUAAACAUUCUCUCCUUUUCCUGCCCUCCUCCCCCUUUCAGGUUGUAGUCUUUGUUAAUUCCAUAUAUACUUCUUUACCAUAUUUUCCCUGUAUUUCAAGUCAAUCCUUUUUUCUGAGCUUUCUUUCUCUCUUCCCUCUUUGUUCAGUUUUGGAGAGCCCCUAGUGGUGCUCGUCACAGCUGGUAAGUUAAGAGUAGGAAUGCGAUUAUUAUCAAGAGAAAAGAACACGGUAUGUUUGGAGGUAAAGUAAGGCAUAAUAACCAGUGUCAUCCACUUUCAGAUCUCUUAGGUAUCUUAGUCUGGUCCACUCUCUUCUGAUUAUACCUUCUUACACAUCUGGGUAUAGAAAAAUAAAAAUCAUUUUUAGUUUAUUUUAUUCCUUAUGUCAUUGUUAGCACUGCAACAAUUACAAUAUACAUUUCAUCUCAGAUACAUAGUGUUGUACUACAGAUACGUUAUGAGUGAAAUAAGCUUUUGUGGAAAGACCUCUGGGUACAAACUGUCAUUAGUAUCAUUCCUAAGGGAAAAGUGGCACCGGUUCUAACCCACCUGCAUAAGUACAUUUGGGGGAUGUAACCAGGUACUUGAGGUCUACUUAAUCAUUAUUUCUCUUAACCACGCUUCUGUUCAUGGAAAAAAAGAUUGGCUAUCUUAAAAUCAUCUAUGUACUACUAGAGUGCCUCCACAGUUAGUUUCAAUAAUAAAUUAAAAUGGAAAUCAUAGAAAAAUUCAGAGUCUUCUGAAACUAAGAAUAUGCAUAAGUAAGGAUUUUGAAAUGACAGAUCGCUUUGAUCACUUCUACGUUUAUGACACUGUCUCGUACACAGAGUUCACUACUUUUAAACAGUAUAUUUAUUCUGAGGGACAGCUGAAUGCAGAGUGUUGAGGCCUUUCCCUGAUUCAAGUUGGUGGUCCCAUGUGACCCAGGACAGCCCCUUCACUCUGUCCGUUUUCUCACAUGUACACUUGAAGAGUGAUGGCUUUGGCUGGUGAAACAUAUUAUCUGUCUUAAGAGUGGGAAACAGCAGUCAGAAAAAUGUUUAAAAAGAAAAGGCUAUUAGAUUUUCCUGUUAGCAGAAUUUUAGAAGUACUGGGUCUUCAUGAAGUCAUUUCAGUCUUCGUCCUCUGCUGACCUGGUGUUAUAUCUUUUUAAAUAAUGAUUAUUUAAUAACCCUUUAAAUUCAUUCCUCAUUUAUAAUCUCAGGGUAAUAUCUCUUUUUGGCUUGAGUUUUAGUAUGUAGUCUGAAACUUACUGUACCAUAGAUGGGAAGCUAAAGGCCGCUGGUAAGUGUGAAGUCAUGGCAAGGGGUCUUGUACGUCAUGAGGAUGUUCUUAUUCAUCUAAAAUGCAUUAUCUUUUGACAAUCACAAAACAAUUUUGUGUUUAUAAAAUGACCUUGAACGUGCAGAUAUGGUAAGGGUAUUGUUGCCAAAGAGAUACAAAUAGAGAUUAUAAUUUUUCUAUUAGGGUCCACGUAUGUAACAGAAUUCCUAAGCUUAAUAUAGUCAGCAGCAUUUGAAAUAGGACUUGGCAUGACUUUUAAAAAAAUUUGUUUAUGCCCAACUUUGAGACACGAAAACAUACAUAGAAAACAUGAUAAAGUAUAAAUUUUAAAAAAUCAUCAAGAUCUGAGGAAAGAUAAAACAGAGCCCUUGGGUUUUGGCAGCGUUGCCUCAGUAGCCACCCUGGGGAUGAGAUGAGUAAGCGGGCCCAUCAGGAGGGCCUUUGCAUCCUGUAGCCCACCACAUCAACCAAAGACGCCCCGCUUUCAUUUAGGGCCUGUGUUGGGCGCUCAUCGAAGACUUCAUUGGGUGGAGUAAGGGGGGUUCUAGUGCUAACCUACAGCUUGGGAACAGCAGCCCUGACAGAUGCAAAUUUUACCUGUUAGACAAAAUAUCUGGAAUACCAAAUACGUUAGGCCAGCUCAUAGUAAAAAGUUAACUCUAUGAGGUCAGCUUCCUUGUAGCCCUGUCUGUGUUGGGAUGUCAGAGUGUGUAGUCAUCCCGAGACAGAGGGGAGCACUUGGAAUACACUGUUUUCGGGGGCAAGGGGAAGGGAGGGAUAACUUAGGAAUUUGGGAAUUGCAGAUACAAGCUACUAUAUAUAAAAUAAACACCAAGAACCUACAGUAUAGCUUAGUAUAUCAAUUUUUGUAAUAAACUAUAAUGAAAAAGAGUAUGUAUAACUGAGUCACUAUGCUAUACACCAGAAACUAACACAACAUUGUAAAUCAAUUAUACUUCAAUGAAAUAAAUAAAUAAAUAAAUACACUAUUUUUUAGGUUGGGCUCCCCUCAUCCAAAAGUUUUUCUUAGGAACUCUGUGCAUAUUGGAGGAAAAGAUAAAACUCUUUUAUCUUUUUAUUAAAGUAAAACAUAAUUUUCAUACUUGUUGGUGAUGUUCAAAUAACAUCUUUCUAUACAUAUUAUAACGAUGAGCCCCCUCCCUGCCUGCCCCACCACCUGCCCAGCACUUUGGGCUGAAGCGAACUGACUGGUUAAAAUGGAGAACAGAUGAUGGAAAACAACUUUGAGUUUUCUGAAACUUCACACACUCUUACCUUGGAUAAAGGAACCAAGACCAAGAAAUAUGGAAAAAUUACAUCAUUUUAAACACAUUUCUGACAGUGCUUCUCAGAUUCCUUUUAGAAAGUCUUUUAUGUUCAGAGGAUAAUGUGGGUGGAGGUGGGCACACAGGGCCAAUGUGAAAUCUUAGGUAGAGAAAUCUUAGGUAGAGAAAUCUUAGGUAGAGAAUGCGUUGUUGGCAGGUGCCUGCUGUUCGACGUGGACUCUGAGUUGGGGUGUUUAUACCCUUCUGAAGAAGGGGGUUUUAUUUUUGGUGAGACUUCUAUGGCAAAGAAAACGGUCUAUAAAGUUCUUGAUGUGGUGCCUGCAACAUGGUAAGCAGUCCAUACACAUUAGCGUCCUCUCUGCUCAUCUUCCUCCUCUGGUUUUUACCAGCAUGCUUUUUGUUUUCCAUCUUGUAAUAUAAUGUUCGUAUUCAACCUUGAGUACUGAGUUUUUCCAGCUUCUGCGGCUUGAGCUUUUGUCUCCAGUGGAGACAGUGAUGCGGAUGGGGAAGAGAGGCCAGGUGAACCCAGACAGGCUCUCCUUUUCCCUGGAGUUGAAGCCUCAGGACUGAGGCAGUGUUAGCAUCCUUAUUGCUCCUGAUCUCAGCAGGAGUCAGACAAAAUAACUGAAUGAAAAGAGAAGAUGGCAGCGGCUGUACUUAACUGUUCAGUUCCACUGACAAGAAAAAACAUCCACCAAGUUUAAAGUAUUUUAAGAAAAACCUCAAAUACUUGUUUAACAUGCAGAUUCCUGGGCUACACCUCAGAGAUUCUGAGUCAACCUUAGGUCGUUCUGAUGCACGGGGUCUAUGAACUGCAUGUUGAAAACCCCUAAUUCCAAGAAGAUCAAUUACACCAUUGCUCCAUUAUUCUGGGUUUUUAAUUUCUUGGUCGAUCAUCAGUAUAGCAUAAAGAUUACAUUUCUUUUGAGAAUCUUUACCACUCCUUGGUAAUUCUGAGCCUCAAACCAUGGCUCAGAAUUCUUGGCUUAAAAAUAUGUGUACUGUGCCCAUACUUCUGUAUAACUCUCAGGCAGUCAUGUAACAGAAAGACUUUGGCAGUGGCGUGAGAUUUAUUUGCAAAUUGCAGUGUCGACAUAAUUCUUUCUUCAUUCACAUUGCCUGGUGAGGGAGUCCUAUCUCACUGUGGUUUGUCCUCCCCGUGGUUUCCGUAGUGUUAGGGAGAAUGCUACAGAAAAACGAACCCUGUCUAGUUUUGACUCACUCAGAUGUGGUGUGUCUUUCGUCUUUCGUCUUUCGUCUUUAUGAGAUGGAAUAUGAGAGGCAUGCCCCAAAGGUGGCAAAUCAGACUUCCACACGCGUUGCCUUCACUUAGCCAAUAGCUUGCUCAGAACGUGUAUAUUAUGAUGUGCAGUUUCAUUCAUCAAGGGGAUUUUGGGCUCCAGCAGCAAAUAUCCUCGAGUCUUGGGUGACUCCUGGACUUUGGGCUUUGAACUGACUCCUCCAUAGACGCAAGAAGGGGCAUCUGGCUGUGAGAAGAAUGAAUGGGAAUCGAGGUAAGGAGAAAUUAGAGAAAUCAUUCCCUUUCUUUUCCUUUGGGUAGAUUUGAGAUUUUAGAAAAAUUAGUUCUCUGUUUGAGAAGAACUCGGAACUAUUUGUCGUGAGUUUUUCCCUCUGCUUUAUGUAUUACCCUGUGUAUCAUCAUCCCUUUGAUGUGAAAUCCACCCUCGUCAAAAUGUAGUUUCAUUUUCAAAUAUUUAAGUAUAGGAUUCCGUUUUUCUUUCUGUGCCUGAAAUUUUUAAAAAGAAAUAUCUAUAGUUGCUAAGAUACUAAUUACACAUGGGUUCCUCGUUCAGAACUGAAGUCUUGUAUAUUUUAGGAAGGACGCUUUAAAAGUUGGGUAGAGAAAGAUUGGUGUUUGCAUUUGAUUUAUGAAACAGUGAUGUUACAAGUGUGUCCGACUUUUUCCGAUAUUAAAGGUCAGAUUUUUGAGACAUGCUACUUAAUUUGUUCUGAGGAAGGAGCUCUGAGGUCUCUCCCCCUGCUGCUCCUCCAGGUUUUCUGCUGGGGGGACCAGCUCUGUCUCUCCUAAGGCAGGGGGUUCAGUCUGUGUACAUUCAGUGCCGUGGCAUUUUUCUUGAAGAAGUGACUAAGGCUUCUUGGAUGAAUUCUCUCUUUGAAAGAGGUGGUAGGAUUGCAUCAGAAAGGCAUUUACAGUAAAUGGCUCCCCCUCCUUCCUGUAAUGACCACAAAUGAAAGAAUGCAUUAAUUCUUGUUUUGAGGAAAUAAGAGUUGUAGAGUGCUAUAAAAAAACUCCCUUGUCAUCAUUAAUUAACUGGAUUUGAAUGUUAAAAAAUUUUACAAUCAGAAUGACUUCAUGCUAUCUAAAUAAAUGUCACAGAGAUACAGCUUUUUACUCUGUAUUCUACAUGAAGUAACCAAUUAUCUUGAAUUCAAAAAGAGGAAAUAAUGUUGAAUAUGGCUAUAGUUAAUGGCAUAAACCUAAACUAAUUUCCUCGGAGUCAUCUUCCAUGUUACAUUGAUGCCCUUCUAAGGUAUGUUGCUGACUUUGUCCUUCAGGAUUUGAUUCUUUCUCGUGGACCACGGAGGCUGGAAGUAAACUCCCAUAGGUCAUCACCCAGGAGUUCUCAUGGGAACAGUGCCGCCCCCUGGAGGGCAUAGUAGAAAUUUGGGGUGAUGUUGAGCUCUACAAUGAAGGGUGCUGAAAGGGUGGGAGUCAGAUUUUAAACGUCCCACAGUGGAAAAGACAAAGAAUUGUCCUGUGUCCCACACACAUUUCAACUAUCCUCUUGGGUAUUUAUGUAGUGAAAGUUAAUUUAUAAUUAUCCGAGUCUAGACCUAAAUUCAUUUUACAUAAAAACACAAAGAUAACUUUCAUGCACUUUUAAUAAAACAAUAUACUCAGUUUCAUUCUGUGGUCCAGCUAUAUACCUCUCCUUUUUGGUUUUCUUGUACUUUCAAUAUGGAAAACAUGAUUUGACUUCUCUUUACCCAGGUUUCUUCUUUUAAGUAAGUGAAAAGCAUUUACUUCAUUUCAUAGUUAAUUGGAUCUGAAAAUUACUUGCAUAUUGAAAUAUGUAGUAUUGUUAUAGAUUGCUUUUUCUUCUUGUUUCUCCUUUACGUUAACAUUUACAGUGUUAUGAUGAUGUUUUUAAAAUUAUGUGUAUACUGGUUAAUACUUAUCAAUGAAUUUUAUCUCAGAAUAGUAAAUAGGGCAUUACAGAAUAUUUUGGUUAUAAAAAGAAGGCUUUGAGACUGGUGGGGGUUUGAGCCGGGAAGAACAGCAUGCAAAUCACCCAGAUGGGAGGGACGUUUAUCUUCUAUGUGAAGUUCUCCAGGGAAGAUUUCACAUGUACUCAUUAAUAUGUUUUAAUAUCUUGAAGUCUUCACAUUAAGCUAGUUCUUAUUAGUACUGUCCAGGAGUCUUCAUUAUGUCACUCUAAAAGCACAGCCUUUAGUUUCUCCCUGUAGGAAAGGACAGUUUUGGAGAGGUCAUCCAAAGCUAGCAGAGGAGUUAAAAACAGACUCAGAUUUUCUUGAAACAGUGGGGCAUUGUGGCACUGUCUCCUUCCCAUGACUAUGUUCGACAUGUGCUGUUUUAAACUUCCAACUGUGCAGUACAUACAGCACAUCUUAGGUAAGGAAUUGUCUGUGUCUCAGGACUACAUCAUCAGAGUCAGGGUACCCAGGCACGUGCACACAGUGUUCACUGAUACUUGUUUUUUAGGGGCCUUAUUUGUAAUUCCAUAGACAUUUUUCCCUUGGACUGUUAUUUCUUGUCCAUGUUUUGAUUGUUGUUUGUUUUUAUGUGGAUGUAAUUAUUGUUUCUCAGGUAUUUUUAGGGACACUAAUAAGAGUUGUUUGGGGGGUUCUUUAUAAAGUAUCUUCACUCUUUGGAAUUUUCUGUUUUCUUCUAGGGUCUUUUUGUUGUUUAUCUUGAUUUUCCACUUUCAUGUUGUAGACUUUCUUUAAAUACACAUUUGUCCCUGACUGUUCGUUCGUGUGAAGGUGAGGUGGCCUUACUGCCGCCAGGGCUCUGUCUGUGUGGGCGCGUCUUACCCCCGACAGCUUCCCUUCGGUGGCACUGAGCCAGCCCUCGUGUUGGAGAGUUGCUAAGUGUCAGAGUGAUGAAGAGGGCUUGAAUUCGGGGUUCUCAGAACCACACUAGCUGUUUAGCUCUCACCAGACAUUGUGUUUAAUUUCCUAAGAGAAUCAUUUCCCUUUUAAGUUUUGGUUCUUGCCUGGGGGCCUGUAAGGUUUGUUGUUUCUCAUAAGGCUAGGAAUUCGGCCUGGAAGUAACAGUUGUUGACAGUUAGACUUGAGCUAAUCUUCUCCUUUCUACCCUUUUUGUCCUUCCUGGCCCCUCUUGUGCUUUUCCUGAGUCUGGAGUCUCUUCGAGGUUUCGCUGGGUCAGUCAGUCACGUCCGCCCUCAGCAGCAACCCUCUUAGACGGUCUCCGGGGCCGUCAGCUGCCUCUGCUCUGCUCCACCAGUCAGUCUUCCUCAUCGAUUCUAUGGCUUCCAGGUUCUCGUUGGAAUCUCUCAGGUCCACGGUAGUCUUUUAACUGUGGUGGGUGUAUAUACUUCCUUGUAACUGCAAUGGGACUUUUCAUGCACCCUGACCACCAUUUUGAAGUGGUGUCUGGGUUCAGGCUUGACAACAGAGCUCCACAGCAGAGAUUUACUGCACACAGUUCUGGAGGCUGGCGUGUAGACAGCCGUCUCCUCGCGGUGCCCUCACGUGGUAGAAGGGGCGGGGAACUCUCUGGGGUCUCGUUCAUAGGAGCACUCACCCCAUUCCUGAUGGCUCAGCUUUCACCAGCACCUCACAAAAGCCCCAUCUCCUCAUAUUGUCAGAUUAAAAUUUCAACCUGUGAAUUUGGGUUGGGGGGACAGAAACAGUCAGUCUGAAGCAAAUGAGAAGCCCUUUAAUUUGUCGAUUUCUCAGAAGUCCAUCUGAAGAAUUAAAUCAGAAAGGCAUUUAGCCAGGGAGAAGUUUAUUUGAGGGCACAGUAACUAUAGUGGGUAUUGGGGUUUGGAGACCAACUGUCAGAACACGUUGACUGGGAAGAAACAAUGAGCUGACGUUGCUGUACAAAGAUUUACACUUUGCAGCCACGCAGGCGUCUACAGUCACUUGUCACAGAACGCCCUGCGAUGCUCUUCUAGCUUUGUUGCUGGAAGGAAAGAUGGAUCUUGUAAAACAUCCAACUUAGUCAUUAAAAAAAAAAUCUAUAAAAGUAGUGGUAGUUGUUCCUGGUCUUUAAUACAAAUGUGCAUAUGCAUAAGUAUUUUAACUUCUUUUCUCCCUUCCCAUUUCCUUUGUGAAAAAAACCUCCAAAUUCUUAUUGAUCAUCCUUUUCUUAUAUUUGUUGCAUAGUUCCUGAAAAUGUAUAGUAGAUACCAUGAAGAUGGGAAAAAAAUCAGAUGGUCACUAAUUAGUCCUCUAACUUCCUCACACAAGGGGUAUCUGUCCAUUUGUAUCUCAGAAGAAAUUCUGAAUUGUUUUUUUUCUGAUCUUCUUGUUCCCUCAUUUUACUUGGAAAAAGUAGCUCUUUUUCCCUGCGAAAAACCCCCGGGGAUCUUCCCCAGAGGUCUUCCACAGUUGCCCCAACAUGAUUGAACCUAACGUAGAAUCUUCUCGGGCCUCUCCCGAUCUCCAGAAUGACAUUGGGAGCCCAGAUCUGUCUCUAGAAUGUGCAAAGUAGUACUGUUGUUGCAUGUUAAUUAUUCUUUGCGUAAAUAGGAGUAAUUGAGGGUAAUGAAGACUCUCUGGAAUCUGACCUCUGUGUUCUGUAAGUAGCUCACCACUUUGGAGCCUUCUGGAGAGUUCCAGGUCAAAGAGCAGGCCCUCUGAGGCCAGGCCCCUGAAAGCAGACGUGGAGAGUGCUGCAACGACCUGCGCUCUGCGGAUGCGAGCUCCCAGAACAUGCUUGUCAUCUUAUUUUCCGUAUUGGCCAGAGCAAAUAUCAUCAGCCUUUUCCAGGUUCCUUUCUGUCCAAAUCCUCCUUUUCCCUUUUACUCCCCAUAAUCUGCUGGAGGUGAGGAAUGUGUUGAAUGCGGCUUGCCAGGUGUCUACUGGAGAAUGAUGGGCCUGAGAAGGAUAUGUUGACUAAGAAUUUAGAGCACUCCCAUGCUCGUCCUGGGACCUGGCAUAUGGGUUGACUGCUACUAUUGGAUGAUGGGGAAACCAGCAAGUUUUAUCUUUUCCUCUGGAGGAAAUACCUUGUAUGGACGGUCCCAAAGAAGUGAGACAGCCUUGGUGAAAUGCUGUGAUGUUAAGUAUACUCGUGUGACCAAACGCCAGUUAACGUACAGGACAUUUCUUCACCUAGGUUUCUUCAUGCCCCAUCCAGUCACCCUCCACCCCGCUGGCAUACGCUUUCUGAUUUCUAUCACUGUAGGAUACUUCUUCCUGUUCUGGAACUUCAUCUUAAUGGAAUCUCAGAUCAUUUACUUUUUUCAUAUCUGGUUUCCUUCACACAGCAGUUUUAUGUUCAUAUGUCAUUCAUUCUUCCUUUAUUGCUGGGCAGUAUUCUGUUGUAUGAAUGGACCCAAUCCUGUGACCCAUCCUUCCGGUGCUGAGUGUUCGGAUUGUUUUCACCUUUUGUCUGUUAUGCAUAUUAAGCUACUGAAAUGAGUUCUCUCUCUCUCAUACUCAUCCCUUUUUGUAUUUGAACUUGAUUGCUAGGCCAUACAGUAGGUGUAUGUUUACCCUUGUAAGACACUUCCAAGCAGUUUUCCAAAGUAGUUGUACCGUUUUAUACUCCAGCCAGCAGUGGAUGAGGGUUCCAGGUGCUCCAAUUCCUUCUUAACAGUUGUGUAUUCUUGGUUUUUCUAAUUUUAGCCUUCAUGCUGGAUAGCAGGUGGUAUCUUUUUGUGGUUUUUUAAUUUCCAUUUCCUUGAUGACUAACAUGUUCUUAUUGGCCUGGGUCAGUGAGCACUGUGGAACUGUUCGCAAGUAGUAACAUUUUUUACUUUUAUAAUAAAAAUCCAGAAGAAAAAGAAAUCUUUUUUAAAAGAAGAAAUUAAAAAGCAAAAGUCUAUCACUGUCCUGUGGUUUAGAUACCUCACUAUUCGUAGCAGACUCUGCAGUUGGUUGAACUGGUCAGAUUUCACUGUUAAUUCCCAUUCUCUCCCCAAAAGAUGCAGAAUUAAAGGCUUUUCUUUUGAGCUCCUUGGGAGAUCUAUGCCCUGAAAAUAUAACAGAUGCUUCAUAUUAACUUCUAGAAUAACUUCUGUUGCUACAAAAAUAUUUUAUGAGGGAAGAUUCUUUGAGCUCCCAUCUUACUCUCCUCCUACUCUGCUCUGAGCUCAAGUCAGACACCAGAGCCACUCACUGGAAAUACCACCUCCCCUCGCCUGUGUUUGGACUUGUACUGUUGUGCUCAGCUUUUGGCCCCCGUUUUUGCUUUCUCUAGCAAUUUUCUGGCCAGAGCAGGAGCUAGAGCUGAGUCUGGGAGUGAUGACAGCGAUGGAUCUGUUUGCCGACCUGCGCUUCCCCCUGCAGCUCUGGAAGGAGGGACGUGUGCGACCCUCACUGUAAUCCGUGCCACGUUAGCAAGACUGACGGUACCCGAAGGCAAAAUCCAGCUCAGAACAAACACGAAGGUUGUCAAUGUGCUAUUAAUGGUGUUGAAAUAUGAUGUUUUGGUUAUGCCUACAAACCGAGUUUGACUGUAGACUGAAGUGUGAGCUUUUCACGCACUGCCUGUCAGGCGAUGGCUGUGGUAGUCUGUAUGAAGAAGCGUCUGUCUUUGUGGUACCAUGACGUGGUUAAGCCGUACGGAAGAUCGAUGUUACUACAGCUGACUCAGCUGGUCUUCCUGUGUUGAAGAUGGGCUCCUUGUGAGGUCUGCUCUGUGUCAUUGGGCUUUCCUUUAUGUUCUCAGUGUUGCUGGGUGAAUGCCACUGAGGCACAGAGCGGGGCAUGAUUGACGUCCGGGAGGUGACCUUCUGCUGAGUGGGAGUUCCCUCCCUGCCAUCCGUCCAGGGCCUCUCUCACCUCCCAGCAGCUCCUGCACAUUCCUGGCUCUCACUCCUCACUCUCUGUAGCUGCCACCCCCCUGGGCACGAGAAAACAGGCACCAAGAGGUGAGCUCACUCAGGUUCCGGUCCUAAUCAACACACUUCAUUUGCACCCGCCCCAUUUUCUCUGCCUCCUGUUUCAAUGGUGAAGCCCUUCCCUGUAUCUAAGACUCUGGACCUCAUCCCCUCUCACUUCCACAGAGACUUUCUCUCCUUGACCUGCCAUUUGCCAUUGACUUUAUUCUACAAGCAUGUAACCUGCUCAAGUCUUACCAACUAAAAAAAAAAAAAAAAAAAAAAACCAAAA